AUGGAUAGCUUAUUUGCUUUGUUGUAUAUACUUUGUAGUUUCAAUGAUGAGACAUAUAUGUCAACUACGGGUGUUGGCUCCAACAACUCUCAUUAGUCUCAAACCAAUGAUGUGCAUUUCGAUGAUCAUGAGUUUGAGGUAGACGAGGAUGGUGAGGGUAUCGUCGAUGCACCGAAAGGAAGAGCGGGCAACUACACCAUGGACGAAGACAUCUUGCUAUGCAAUACAUGGUUGCAAGUGUCUAGGGAUGCCACCGUUGGAGCAGAUCAAAGUAGAGAUGCAUAUUGGAUCCGGAUGAAGGAGCACUUUGAUUUACACAACAAAAUUGGAAUUGACCGCUCGGAAAGAUCUCUUCGCUCCCGGUGGUCGACAAUCAACAGAGAUUGUCAAAGGUGGGCGGCCGCACUUAAGGCGGUUGACACGUUAAACCCAAGUGGAACUAAUGAUAUAGAUAGUGUAAGUGUCAUUUCUUUCAUGAUUCUUCCAUGUCCAUGCUUCUUCUUGGUGUUUCAAGUGCACAAACUUAUUUCAAGGAGAGGAGAAGAAGACCAAGAAAGGGAGACCAUUUACCUUGCCUCAUUGCUAUGA
rnacentral:rRNA from 1 species